AAUCACAAAAAAAAAAAUGAAAACCCGUGAGGAAAAAAGAAGGAAAGGAAAGUCCUUCGCUGCCAGACUCAAACAAGCCCCAAUCAAAUCGAUCCUUUAUGCUUUAUUUCUCCUUUCUUUUGGGCUUU
rnacentral:ribozyme from 13 species